UUUAGUUGUACAUCCACAAUG
rnacentral:piRNA from 1 species